rfam:Cicer arietinum chromosome Ca6, whole genome shotgun sequence.
GCUGAUGAUGAUAUAAUCCAACUUGUUUGAAGUGUUGUGGAGCCAAGCCCCUGUCUUCAGGGAGAACCUACUUGGUAAAGCUACAUUCAUAUGACAUCUAUGGAUUUAACUGAGGC